rnacentral:rRNA from 1 species
UACGUAGGGAGCAAGCGUUGUCCGGAAUCAUUGGGCGUAAAGCGCGCGUAGGUGGCCCAGUAAGUCCGUUCUGAAAGUCACAGGCUCAACCUGUGAAAGCGGAUGGAUACUGCUGGGCUAGAGUCCGGAAGAGGAAAGUGGAAUUCCUGGUGUAGCGGUGAAAUGCGCAGAUAUCAGGAAGAACACCCGUGGCGAAGGCGGCUUUCUGGGACGGUACUGACGCUGAGACGCGAAAGCGUGGGGAGCGAACAGG